UCUCAUUUUCGAAUUGACAGGUCAUUUUAGCAUCCCGAAUACUCCGAAAUGGCCGGGGUUUGAUCAGUUUGAAGGUCGUAUCUUGCAUUCCCAUGAUUUCCGAGAUGCAAAGGAAUUCAGCGGGAAAGAUAUCCUGGUGAUUGGGACACACUAUUCUGCUGAAGAUGUUGGCCUACAGUGCUAUAAGUACGGUGUGAGGAGUGUGACCCUCUCUUGGCGUACUAAGCCAAUGCCUUUCAACUGGCCGGCGGAUAAAUUUUCCACUGUCCCUCUUCUUACUCGUGUUGAGGGCUCAAAAUGUUUCUUCAAAGACGGUUCCUCAAAGAAAGUGGAUGCCAUUAUUCUGUGCACUGGAUACAAGCACCACUUCCCUUUUAUGGAAGAAAGUAUUACUCUGAAGACUACUAAUCGCAUGUGGACUGACCAUCUUCACAAAGGAAUCUUCUUGUUCAGUAACCCGAAGGUCAUGUACCUAGGCAUGCAGGACCAAUAUUUCUCAUACAACAUGUUUGACGCCCAAGCAUGGUAUGCACGUGACUACGUCAUGGGAAAGAUAACAAUGCCUUCGGCUGAGGCAAUGAGACAGGAAUUUGCGAUUUGGCGUGCUUGAGAAGAGAAACUAAAUGAUGAAGAAAACGACAUUAAUUUUCAAGCCGACUAUAUUGAUGAUUUGGUCAAAGUCACGGAUUAUCCUAUUUUUGAUUUACAGAAGUAUGCGCAGCUCUUCAUUGACUGGGAGCACAACAAAUUUGAGGAUAUCAUGACGUAUCGUGAUCAAGCCCACCGCUCUGUUGUCACUGGUAACAUGGCCCCCCUACACCACACCCCCUGGAUCAAGGCCAUGGACGACUCUAUGAGCUCCUUUCUCAACAACAGCUAGAAAACUGGAAUUGUUAAUGUAGAAACUUCUAGACAUGCAUCACAAGAGUCAUUUGAAAUGCCAUGACGGCUAUUGACGAAAAUGCUAUCAAUGCAGAUUAGAACGCUACUGUUCAUCAACUUCAUCAUAAUUAUUUUAUCUGCAUUUAUUAUCAUUUUCCCCCUCCAUACUAUUAAUAGUGAUUAUGUUUUGUUAUGAUUA